rnacentral:lncRNA from 1 species
UUGUUUUUUUGUUUUUUUUUUUUCCUUGAGUGUUAUGACGAUGGACAAGGGGCGAGGACGGUUGCCCCCGGCAAGCGUCCCAAAUAAUCUAGGGUCUGGAUUCAACCAUCGGUACAAAUUUUGAAAUUGUACAGCUCAGAUUACGACAUAUGAUUUUGAUGUAAUGACUGUUAUAAAUCUGUCUAAAUGGUUUGUGAUGAAUUACAACUUGUUCGAAAAGUAUUACACUGUUUACCAACGGUUACAUUUACAAUAAUCGAAAGGAGUGACGUGUCUAUAGCAUAAUCCGUCGGUCAAAUACUUCUUAAUUUGGAGCUCUCUUUUAACAACUCUUAGGCUGACUAGAUCUUCAAGUUUAAUAUCCCAUCGCUUUUAAUCCACCACACAAUAGAACAAAGGACGCGCUAAUUAUGCUGGUGUAAUAGCUUAAUAUACUCUGC